rnacentral:lncRNA from 10 species
UGGGGUCUUUUUUUUUUUUUUUUUGAGACAGAGUCUUACUCUGUUUCCCAGGCUGGAGUGCACAAACAUGGCUCACUACAGCCUCGCUCUCCCGGGCUCCAGUGAUCCUCCCGCCUCAGCCUCCCAAGUAGCUGGGAUUAUAGGUGUGUGCCACUGUGCCAAGCUAAUUUUUUUAUUUUUUGUAGAGAUGGGAUUUCACCAUGUUACUCAGGCUGGUCUCAAACUCCCAGCCUCAAGCGAUGCUCCCACCUCCACCUCCCAAAGUGCUG